AUAGCAUAUCAAUAAGCGGAGGAAAAGAAACCAACAGGGAUUGCUCUAGUAACGGCGAGUGAAGCAGCAAUAGCUCAAAUUUGAAAUCUGGCGUCUUCGACGUCCGAGUUGUAAUUUGUAGAGGAUGCUUCUGAGUGGCCACCGACCUAAGUUCCUUGGAACAGGACGUCAUAGAGGGUGAGAAUCCCGUAUGCGGUCGGAAAGGCGCUCUAUACGUAGCUCCUUCGACGAGUCGAGUUGUUUGGGAAUGCAGCUCUAAAUGGGAGGUAAAUUUCUUCUAAAGCUAAAUAUUGGCCAGAGACCGAUAGCGCACAAGUAGAGUGAUCGAAAGAUGAAAAGCACUUUGGAAAGAGAGUUAAAAAGCACGUGAAAUUGUUAAAAGGGAAGGGAUUGCAACCAGACUUGCUCGCGGUGUUCCGCCGGUCUUCUGACCGGUCUACUCGCCGCGUUGCAGGCCAGCAUCGUCUGGUGCCGCUGGAUAAGACUUGAGGAAUGUAGCUCCCUCGGGAGUGUUAUAGCCUCUUGUGAUGCAGCGAGCGCCGGGCGAGGUCCGCGCUUCGGCUAGGAUGCUGGCGUAAUGGUCGUAAUCCGCCCGUCUUGAAACACGGACCAAGGAGUCUAACAUCUAUGCGAGUGUUCGGGUGUCAAACCCCUACGCGUAAUGAAAGUGAACGGAGGUGAGAACCGCCAGGUGCAUCAUCGACCGAUCCUGAUGUCUUUGGAUGGAUUUGAGUAAGAGCAUAGCUGUUGGGACCCGAAAGAUGGUGAACUAUGCCUGAAUAGGGUGAAGCCAGAGGAAACUCUGGUGGAGGCUCGCAGCGGUUCUGACGUGCAAAUCGAUCGUCAAAUUUGGGUAUAGGGGCGAAAGACUAAUCGAACCAUCUAGUAGCUGGUUCCUGCCGA
rnacentral:rRNA from 1 species